rnacentral:rRNA from 1 species
UACGAAGGGGGCUAGCGUUGUUCGGAUUUACUGGGCGUAAAGCGCACGUAGGCGGAUCGUUAAGUCAGGGGUGAAAUCCUGGAGCUCAACUCCAGAACUGCCUUUGAUACUGGCGAUCUUGAGUCCGGAAGAGGUGAGUGGAACUCCUAGUGUAGAGGUGGAAUUCGUAGAUAUUAGGAAGAACACCAGUGGCGAAGGCGGCUCACUGGUCCGGUACUGACGCUGAGGUGCGAAAGCGUGGGGAGCAAACAGGG